rnacentral:rRNA from 1 species
UACGUAGGGUGCGAGCGUUAAUCGGAAUUACUGGGCGUAAAGCGUGCGCAGGCGGUUUUGUAAGCCAGAUGUGAAAUCCCCGGGCUUAACCUGGGAAUGGCAUUUGGGACUGCAAGGCUUGAGUCUGGCAGAGGGGACUGGAAUUCCUGGUGUAGCAGUGAAAUGCGUAGAGAUCAGGAGAAAUACCGAUGGCGAAGGCAGGUCCCUGGGCUGAAACUGACGCUGAGGAGCGAAAGCGUGGGGAGCGAACAGG